rnacentral:rRNA from 1 species
CGCGAAAACUCUACAAUGCACGCAAGUGUGAUAGGGCAACCCCUCGUGCUCAACUAACGUUGGGCUUUUAUUAUGUGUAGUGAUCAUAAUGAAUAAGUGGUGGGCAAGACCGGUGCCAGCAGCCGCGGUAAUACCGGCGCCACAAGUGGAGAUCAUUUUUAUUGGGUCUAAAGUGUUCGUAGCUGGUUUUUGUAAGUCUCUUGUGAAAGUUCUACUGCUUAACUUAGAAUCUGCAAGAGAUACUGCAAAACUUGAGACCGGGAGAGAUGUAGAGUAUUGUUUGGGUAGCGGUAAAAUGCUAUAAUCCUUACAAGACUAACUAAGGCGAAGGCACUACAUUUGAACGGAUCUGACAGUGAGGAACGAGAGCGUGGGGAGCGAACCGGAUUAGAUACCCGGGUAGUCCUAGCCGUAAACGCUGCGGGUUAGCUUUGCUAAAUCUACGUGUAUUUAGCAGGGUCGUAG